GGCCCCGUAGUUUAACGGAUAAAAUGCAGGAUUCCGGUUCCUGUGAUGGGGGUUCGAUUCCCUUCGGGGUCA
rnacentral:tRNA from 1 species